UAACCUGCCUGGUAGCGGGGGGUAACUAUUGGAAACGAUAGCUAAUACCGCAUAACAGUAGAUAUCGCAUGAUAUUUGCUUGAAAGGUGCAAUUGCACCACUACCAGAUGGACCUGCGUUGUAUUAGCUAGUUGGUGAGGUAACGGCUCACCAAGGCAACGAUACAUAGCCGACCUGAGAGGGUGAUCGGCCACACUGGGACUGAGACACGGCCCAG
rnacentral:rRNA from 1 species